rnacentral:rRNA from 1 species
GGACUACUAGGGUUUCUAAUCCUGUUUGAUCCCCACGCUUUCGCGCCUCAGCGUCAGUUGUCGUCCAGAUAGCCGCCUUCGCCACCGGUGUUCCUGCUAAUAUCUACGAAUUUCACCUCUACAUUAGCAAUUCCGCUAUCCCCUCCGACACUCUAGCGACACAGUUUCAAAGGCAAUUCUUGGGUUGAGCCCAAGGAUUUCACCCCUGACUUGAGUCGCCGCCUACGCGCGCUUUACGCCCAGUAAUUCCGAACAACGCUAGCACCCUUCGUAUUACCGCGGCGGCUGGCAC